AACGAACGCUGGCGGCAUGCCUAACACAUGCAAGUCGAACGAGACCUUCGGGUCUUGUGGCGCACGGGUGCGUACCGCGUGGGAACCUGCCCUUAGGUUCGGAAUCACUCCCCGAAAGGGGUGCUAAUACAGGAUAAUGUCUUCCGACCAAAGAUUUAUCGCCUUUGGAUGGGCCCGCGUGGGAUUAGCUAGUUGGUAGGGUAAAAGACUACCAAGGCGAAGAUCCAUAGCUGGUCUGAGAGGAUGCUCAGCCACACUGGGACUGGGACACGGCCCAGAUUCCUGCGGAAGGAAGCAGUGGGGAAUGUUGGACGAUGGGCGAAAGACGGAGCCAGCAAUGCCGCGUGAGUGAUGAAGGCCUGAGGGUUGUAAAGCUCUUUUACCCGGGAUGAUAAUGACAGUACCGUAAGAAUAAGAUCCGGCUAACUCCGUG
rnacentral:rRNA from 1 species